CCGGGCUGGGGCUCCCGGGCUCCUUUUGUGGAAAAGAGCGGAAAGCAGGGCCCUCUCCGGGUCUCUGAAAAUGGUCAGUUCGGCUUCGCAGGGCUGCGUGCCCGGAAUAAUAAAUUGGCUUCUCUAGGGUCGUAAUCUGGGCCCCACCCCGAGCAGCUUUGAGCUGGUUCGCGCCUUCCAGGCAGGACUACUGGGAGUUCUCAAAAGCACCCCCGCAGUCGGCUGUGUCAGGAUCACCUGGGUCCGGUGUGAACACGAUUCCAGGGCCCCACCCCAUCGCCUGAAGCGGAAUCUCUGGGCGGGGCCCAGGAAACCGAGUUUUUGGUGAGUUCCCGGGUGAUUCUGAUGGCAAAGCCCAUGUGGGAGCCACUGUUCUAAGGGCUUUUGGACAGGCAGUUGUGAAAUUUUCCCCCAGAAGAAUCUCUGGGGACCCAGUUGUCACACACCGCUGGAUUCACUGCGGUGUUGAUUCUGCCUCCUGAUGAAGUUCUUCCCGAGUCUGACUUCGAGCCCGCCUGCUUUAUUAAGCACGUUUUUCUCCAGUCGUUUUUUUUUUUUUUUAAUGGAAAAAGGAACAGGGAGAAGGCUUUUCUCGAACCUGUUUGCAGAGAGCCGUCUUGCCCGCUUUGAGGGCCCUUUCUUGGGAGACCUGUUUGCUUUGUUCAACCUCUGAAUUCAGCAGACCCCAAAUCCACCAAGGCCACUAGCUUGUGAGUGAAUGUGGUCCCUUCAGGUGGAUGAUGAACCAAUAAACCUGGACACAAUCUCCCGAAUAACACCACACAUGCCAACAAAUGACAUCAGCAUUCCA
rnacentral:lncRNA from 10 species